CGUGGACCAGAGGAGGGACAGGCUGCGUGUGCUGCUGGAGGAGGAGGAGCAGCAGCUCCUGCAGGAGAUGGAGGAGAAGAUGGAGACUCCGGUGGAGAGACAGGCGAAGAUGAGAGAACGAGCCAAAGCUCUGAGAGAGAGGAGAGAGACAGACAGGCAGAAGAUGGUCUCAGAGAAGAUGGAUCAGCUGUUUAGGGACCAGUGUGAGGAGCUGAGGGCGGUGCAGAGCCAGCGCAGAGAGCAGCAGGUGUGUUUG